rnacentral:rRNA from 1 species
UACGUAGGGCGCAAGCGUUUAUCCGGAAUUAUUGGGCGUAAAGAGCUCGUAGGCGGUUUGUCGCGUCUGCCGUGAAAGUCCGGGGCUCAACUCCGGAUCUGCGGUGGGUACGGGCAGACUAGAGUGAUGUAGGGGAGACUGGAAUUCCUGGUGUAGCGGUGAAAUGCGCAGAUAUCAGGAGGAACACCGGUGGCGAAGGCGGGUCUCUGGGCCGAUACUGACGCUGAGGAGCGAAAGCGUGGGGAGCGAACAGG